rnacentral:lncRNA from 1 species
GUCUCGGACGUUCCCGCAGCCAACGUUUAGGGCACCAGGCGCUGUGCUAGGCGCCGCGGUUAUAAAGAUAAUCGGUUUUGUUGAGCCCAGGAAUGUUCGGGUACACCCAUCAUGAGUACACCCACUCUUCUAGCCUAACAAAAAUUCCCUUAGGGCCCAAGGAAUCAUGGUACCUGCACCCCAAGAAAGCCUCUGGGUCUUUGAGUCAGCAAAGUGGCGGA